CGGAUCCGCGGCCGCAGAGUUUGAUCCUGGCUCAGAUUGAACGCUAGCGGGAUGCCUUACACAUGCAAGUCGAACGGCAGCGGGAAGAAAGCUUGCUUUCUUUGCCGGCGAGUGGCGAACGGGUGAGUAAUGUAUCGGAACGUGCCCAGUAGCGGGGGAUAACUGGCCGAAAGGUCAGCUAAUACCGCAUACGCCCUACGGGGGAAAGGGGGGGACUCUUCGGAGCCUCUCACUAUUGGAGCGGCCGAUAUCGGAUUAGCUAGUUGGUGGGGUAAUGGCUCACCAAGGCAACGAUCCGUAGCUGGUUUGAGAGGACGACCAGCCACACUGGGACUGAGACACGGCCCAGACUCCUACGGGAGGCAGCAGUGGGGAAUUUUGGACAAUGGGGGGAACCCUGAUCCAGCCAUCCCGCGUGUGCGAUGAAGGCCUUCGGGUUGUAAAGCACCUUUGUCAGGGAAGAAAAGGUUCUGGCUAAUAUCCGGAACUGAUGACGGUACCUGAAGAAUAAGCACCGGCUAACUACGUGCCAGCAGCCGCGGUAAUACGUAGGGUGCAAGCGUUAAUCGGAAUUACUGGGCGUAAAGCGUGCGCAGGCGGUUCGGAAAGAAGAUGUGAAAUCCCAGGGCUCAACCUUGGAACUGCAUUCUUAACUACCGGACUAGAGUAUGUCAGAGGGGGGUAGAAUUCCGCGUGUAGCAGUGAAAUGCGUAGAUAUGCGGAGGAAUACCGAUGGCGAAGGCAGCCCCCUGGGAUAAUACUGACGUUCAUGCACGAAAGCGUGGGGUAGCAAACAGGAU
rnacentral:rRNA from 1 species